rnacentral:tRNA from 1 species
GCCGGCGUGGCGGAACUGGCAGACGCGCGGGACUUAAAAUCCCGUUCCCCUUAAAGGAGUACCGGUUCGAUCCCGGUCGCCGGCA